rnacentral:rRNA from 1 species
GAUGAACGCUGGCGGCGUGCCUAAUACAUGCAAGUCGAGCGAACGGACGAGAAGCUUGCUUCUCUGAUGUUAGCGGCGGACGGGUGAGUAACACGUGGAUAACCUACCUAUAAGACUGGGAUAACUUCGGGAAACCGGAGCUAAUAUCGGAUAAUAUUUUGAACCGCAUGGUUCAAAAGUGAAAGACGGUCUUGCUGUCACUUAUAGAUGGAUCCGCGCUGCAUUAGCUAGUUGGUAAGGUAACGGCUUACCAAGGCAACGAUGCAUAGCCGACCUGAGAGGGUGAUCGGCCACACUGGAACUGAGACACGGUCCAGACUCCUACGGGAGGCAGCAGUAGGGAAUCUUCCGCAAUGGGCGAAAGCCUGACGGAGCAACGCCGCGUGAGUGAUGAAGGUCUUCGGAUCGUAAAACUCUGUUAUUAGGGAAGAACAUAUGUGUAAGUAACUGUGCACAUCUUGACGGUACCUAAUCAGAAAGCCACGGCUAACUACGUG